rnacentral:tRNA from 1 species
UUCCUGGAGGACUAGUGGUUAGGCCACAGUGCUCUCACUGCUGUGGCCUGGGUCCGAUUCCCAGCCAGGGAA